UUAUUUUUCCCUGUGAUUCCCAUAGAGAAAUGCUUUUGCUUCAGAGGAAUAUAAUUGCUUAUUGGAAAGCCCAGUUCUCCAGGAGGAAAGAACAGCCACCUAGCAUCAGUAGAAACAUUAAGAACAGAAAUAAGUAAGAUGUGUCUUGAGACUUUUAAGUACUGGAAAGUGUCCAGCUGUGGACAGAGGGACUGUGAGAACUUGAACAUCAACCCAUGUUCUUUUCUGUUGCUUUUAAGGGAAGAUGUGCUAGUAUUUGAAAACACAAAAGAAAAUACGCUUCUGUCUGAAGUGAGGUCUCUGGAAGGACAGAGUGGGUUGGAUUUCAAAGAUCUACAACAGAGAAUGAAGUGCAUAAUACAGACUGAAAAAGGAGUUUUCCUGAAAGCGUACAGUCAUUUGUGAUGUUGAAGUGGCUAAAAGCAGAAUGACUUUGCAUCUGAGAAGUCAGAAUGUCUUAAUGCUUCUGAGCAGGAUCCAGGGUAAGUGAAAUACGCUAUGUGGGACUGAUGUUUU
rnacentral:lncRNA from 1 species